rfam:Rattus norvegicus strain BN; Sprague-Dawley chromosome 6 CRA_213000034345856, whole genome shotgun sequence.
GGAAGGCAGAGGGUUUUGCUUGGAUCUCUGGGCUGGCCACGUGGCCAUACGUUCAACAGUCCACGCUGCCUGUUCCUGGAGACAGAGAGUAAGUUAGGGCUGCAAACAGGAUCUGAGUGGCCCCCUGCUCUGGAGAGGCCCCUCCAUGUAAACAGAACAAGUUUCUGGGAAACAUACAGAAGGCCAGACUGUCGGGAAAGG